rnacentral:misc_RNA from 1 species
UCUCCGUAGGUGAACCUGCGGAGGGAUCAUUAACACGUUCUAAAACAACGUUUAUCAACCAAACAGCGUGAACACUAUUAUAAAACACUCCCUUCACAUGCAGACGUACGAACAACCAUCAGGGUGGGGCGCGGGAAACUGCGACUAUGGCUCGUCUAGGGUCCCUUUGAGGUCCCAAUUUGCAUAUGAAGUGUCUUUGCGACCUCCUGGCAGUCUGUGAUCUUUGGAUUGGAUUCCGGUCUGAUCUAAAGUAGCAGCGUUCUGCCGAAACCUUUUUUAACAUAAUUUUUUAACCCCUUUAAAAAACAUACUAAAAACUGAACCAUAUUAUUUUCAACCUAGUGUUGAAAACAAUUGAUAUACGUAAUGCUGAACAACUCUUAGCAAUGGAUAUCUUGGUUCUC